GAGGAUGUAGCUAAGUGGGACAGAGCGCCUGUCUUCGAAACAGGAAGUCACAGGUUCAAUCCCUGCCAUCCUCG
rnacentral:tRNA from 1 species